GACCCAGGUUUCUCUUUAGUGAUUCAUGACAAACUCCAAGUUCCCAAUACCAUUCGUAAGGCAUGGAAUGAGAAGGACAACAGAUGUGAUGUUUGUGCCACGCACCUGAACCAGUUGAAGCAAGAGGCCAUUCAGAUGGUGCUGACCUUAGAGCAGGCUGCCAACUCAGAACAUUACGAUGCCUCACCAGGCUCUCCCCCACCUCUCUCCAAUAUCCCCACGUUAGUGAGUCCCCGGCACAUGGGCAGCCUGCAGCCCAGGGACUGGGCAUACAUGCCUGCUCCUUAUGCUACAUCUAAUUAUACAGGCUUUGUUGCCAACAAACACAGUGGAAAACCCAACAGCCUCGGAAUCGUCAAUGGGGUGGAGAAGAAAAAUGGCUCUCCUGGACACCAAGCCAAGGUCAGCUUUCAAAUGGCCACCAGCCCCAGCAAUGGCAACGUUCUCAACUCUGUGGCUAUCCAGGCUCAUCAGUACCUUGAUGGCACCUGGUCUUUGUCAAGAACGAAUGGAGUCACUCUAUAUCCCUACCAG